UGGUCGUUUACUCAUUCCGUUUCAAUGUUAUAUAUAAUUGUUCUAGUUUUCAACAACCGAUUUUCAAAAACAUCCCACCCUCCUCAAAAAAAAAAAAUUAUAACAAUAAUUUUGACAUUUUUCGUUAUCAAUCGUAUUGCUGAUUUGCCGAUUUCCGUUUGUCGUUCAUUAUACCGUGCUCUUUUACACACGUUCGCGAAAAAAAAUAAAAAUGAAUAACAAUUUAUCGUCGAGAUCGACGGCACUGUUCAAUCCGUUGCCGCGCGCAGGACCGUCUCAACCGCCGGCGUGACAGUCGCCGGUCAACUACUAUCUUUACAACGGACGUCGCG